rnacentral:rRNA from 1 species
GACGAACGCUGGCGGCGUGCUUAACACAUGCAAGUCGAACGGAGAGGCCCUGCUUUUGUGGGGUGCUCGGGUGGCGAACGGGUGAGUAACACGUGAGUAACCUGCCCUUGACUUUGGGAUAACUUCAGGAAACUGGGGCUAAUACCGGAUAGGAGCUCCUGCUGCAUGGUGGGGGUUGGAAAGUUUCGGCGGUUGGGGAUGGACUCGCGGCUUAUCAGCUUGUUGGUGGGGUAGUGGCUUACCAAGGCUUUGACGGGUAGCCGGCCUGAGAGGGUGACCGGCCACAUUGGGACUGAGAUACGGCCCAGACUCCUACGGGAGGCAGCAGUGGGGAAUAUUGCACAAUGGGCGGAAGCCUGAUGCAGCAACGCCGCGUGCGGGAUGACGGCCUUCGGGUUGUAAACCGCUUUCGCCUGUGACGAAGCGUGAGUGACGGUAAUGGGUAAAGAAGCACCGGCUAACUACGUG